rnacentral:rRNA from 1 species
UACGAACUGUGCGAACGUUAUUCGGAAUCACUGGGCUUACAGGGUGCGUAGGCGGCUCAACAAGUCAGGUGUGAAAGCCCCCGGCUCAACCGGGGGAACUGCGCUUGAAACUGUUAGGCUCGAGUCAGCUAGAGGUACACGGAACUUCCAGUGGAGCGGUGAAAUGUGUUGAUAUUGGAAGGAACACCGGAGGCGAAAGCGGUGUACUGGGCUGGUCUGACGCUGAGGCACGAAGCCAGGGAGACGAA